GACGAACGCUGGCGGCGUGCCUAAUACAUGCAAGUCGAGCGCAGGAAAUCAUCCGAACCCUUCGGGGGGACGUUGAUGGAAUGAGCGGCGGACGGGUGAGUAACACGUAAAGAACCUGCCCUCAGGUCUGGGAUAACCACGAGAAAUCGGGGCUAAUACCGGAUGGGUCAUCGGACCGCAUGGUCCGCGGAUGAAAGGCGCUUCGGCGUCGCCCGGGGAUGGCUGUGCGGUGCAUUAGCUAGUUGGUGGGGUAAUGGCCCACCAAGGCGACGAUGCAUAGCCGACCUGAGAGGGUGAUCGGCCACACUGGGACUGAGACACGGCCCAGACUCCUACGGGAGGCAGCAGUAGGGAAUCUUCCACAAUGGACGAAAGUCUGAUGGAGCAACGCCGCGUGAACGAUGAAGGCCUUCGGGUCGUAAAGUUCUGUUGUAAGGGAAGAACAAGUGCCGCAGGCAAUGGCGGCACCUUGACGGUACCUUGCGAGAAAGCCACGGCUAACUACGUGCCAGCAGCCGCCGUAAUAC
rnacentral:rRNA from 1 species